rnacentral:pre_miRNA from 1 species
UGUUGUUAUCACUAUGAUGAUGAUGAUGAUGAUGAUGGUGAUCAUCAUCAUCAUCAUCAUCAUCAUCAUUAUCAUCA